UAGUGUUGUAGUUGUUAAAUAUGUGUUGCUGGGACAAAAUCUUACAUAUUUUUAAUAAACUUAUUAAAACUAUAAACCAAAUAUACUACGUGUUAAUUUAAUAAUUGUUAUAGAUUUAAUAAAAACUUUUUGGAAGAGUGGUUUUAUAAAGAUGUUGAACAGUAUUAAAAUAUUGCGGAGGUGUAUAAUUUUCCGAAGUUGUCAAUGUUCUAUAUACUUCUCGGGUGCUUCAAACGUAUCCGUAUUGAAAUCAAACAUUGAUGUCAAUUCAAAAGAAUAUCAGGAAAACUUAACAGCAAUGGAAAUGUUGGUGUAUAAUUUAAAAAAAGCCGUAAGCAAUUCGAUUGCUGGCGGUGAUUCAAAAGAUAAGUCGAGACAUACGUCCAAAGGAAAAUUACUAGUACGUGAUCGUAUAGAUUAUCUUUUGGAUACGGGUUCACCAUUUUUAGAAUUAUCUCAAUUAGCUGGACAUAAUUUGUACAAAGAAUCUGUUCCGUGCGGUGGAAUUAUUACCGGUAUAGGACGUAUUUCUGGGAAGGAAUGUAUGAUUAUUGCGAAUGAUGCUACAGUGAAAGGAGGUUCUUACUUUCCUAUCACGGUAAAAAAACAUUUAAGGGCACAGGAAAUAGCCAGUGAGAAUAAUUUACCAUGCGUUUAUUUGGUCGACUCUGGCGGUGGUUAUUUGAAAAAACAGGCAGAAAUUUUUCCCGACAGAGAACAUUUUGGGAGAAUAUUUUUCAAUGAAGCUAUUAUGUCUUCAAAAAAUAUUACUCAAAUAGCCGUAGUGAUGGGGAGCUGUACGGCAGGCGCUGCUUACUUACCUGCCAUGGCUGAUGAGAGUGUAAUUGUGAGAAAUACCGGAACAAUUUUUCUUGCUGGUCCUCCGUUAGUAAAGGCUGCGACAGGAGAAGUUGUGUCUGCCGAGGAUUUAGGUGGUGCGAAACUUCACUGCUCAGUGUCUGGAGUUUCUGAUCAUUACGCCAAUGAUGAUUACCACGCAUUACAUAUAACUAAAAACAUCAUUGAAAAUUUGAAUAAUAACAAUAACAAACAAGGUUUAAAUAGUAGUACUGAUGAGCCUGAGCUACCGUUAUAUCCUGCCAAAGAAUUAUAUGGCAUUGUUGGAGAUAAUUUAAAAAAAAAUUACGAUGUCAGAGAGGUUAUUGCAAGAAUAGUAGAUGGAUCUGUAUUUUCUGAGUUUAAAAAAAAUUACGGAGAAACACUGGUAACUGGAUUUGCUAAAAUCUGUGGUUAUCCUAUCGGUAUUAUUGGUAAUAAUGGUGUGCUAUUUUCUGAGUCGGCGUUAAAGGGGACACAUUUCAUUGAAUUAUGUUGUCAACGAAAUAUUCCGCUUUUAUUUUUUCAAAACAUAACUGGAUUUAUGGUUGGAAAAGAUGCCGAGGCUGGUGGUAUUGCUAAAAAUGGUGCUAAAAUGGUAACAGCUGUAUCCUGUGCCUCUGUCCCUAAAAUUACUGUUGUGAUCGGUGGUUCUUAUGGAGCUGGAAAUUAUGGAAUGUGUGGUCGAGCGUAUGGACCCAGAUUUAUGUAUAUGUGGCCUAAUUCUCGAAUCAGUAUAAUGGGUGGUGAACAAGCAGCAGGAGUUCUUGCUCAAAUUCAAAGCGAAAAGAAGAUUAGAGAAGGAAAACAGUUGUCCAAAGAAGAAGAAAAAAUGUUAAAAGAUCCGGUGAUAAGACAGUUUGAAAACGAAGGAAAUCCUUUUUAUUCAAGUGCAAGGUGUUGGGAUGAUGGAAUUAUUGAUCCAGUUCAAACGAGACAAGUUUUGGCGUUGAGUUUGUCUGCCAUCCACAAUGCACCCGUGCAGCAGACCAAAUAUGGAAUUUUUAGAAUGUAGAUAGUUAGUUGAUUACAAUGUUCCAAUUUUAAAUUGUACUAGAACAAUUAUGUACGAUAUGGCCACUCCGAGAUACUGUAAACAAAUCACUGUAUUCAAGGCAUGGCCUCAAGUUUUUUUCGAAUUAUAUUAUAUUGUUAUUUACUUACGGUUAUUAAGUAAACACGGUCCAAAGUAAAAUAACCACCUACAGUUAUUUCGGAUACGAAGUAAUCAUUAAAUUCCUGUUUAAAAUUACCUGCUCUUGAGUUUCUAAACUGAACUUACUGCAAGCCAUCGACUGUAUCGCUACCAUGGUUUUAAAUCCUACCUAUAUUAAGAGAUAACUCAGUGGUUAUAAUAUACAUUGUAUUGUUUUAAAAUAUAUGUAAUAAACAUAACAAGUCCAAUGUGCACUGA